GGGCUCAGUGGUUAGAGCGUCCGCCUCAGAUGUGGGAGGUUGUGGGUUCGAUCCCCGGCCGAGUCA